UACAUUAUUACUUAGUACUAUUUUUUGAUGAUGAUAUGUUUUGUAUUUUUUGCCACAGCUUGAUGACCCUUGAUCCUCGAACAAACGUUAUAAAGACAUUAAUAAGAACAUUAAUUUCUGUGCUAGUGAUAACUUUUUAAAUCAAAUACUAGCGCAAGAAGUCUUAAGACUUUUACACUGUAGCAUAAUAGGAGUGACAUUUAGUGCUAAAAAUAAUAUAUCGCAGCCUUGCCUUGCAGUGCUUGUUGUUUUGCAGUUGGAUUUGCCAUUUUUACAGCUAAACAGGUGAUAAGAUUUGACCUUAUUUUAAUAUGCCUCAUUCCGCCUUGUACUUUGAGGGACUGGAUACCCUGAGACGCUUGUUUAGCAGCUCCUGUUGUAUUUAAAACAAUGAAUGACACGCAUUAAUUUUGGACCCAACUCAGCCGCGAGCGCGUGACCGUGACCGCACGCGUCCCGUCAAAAUGUGCGCGAAAAACUUUUUAUUUUUUUCCUUUCCACAGACUGAGGCGAACACACGGCAUUUCUCAUCGCUUCCCCUCCGUGCGAUGCGGCGGACGGGUGAAACUAAGCCUUAGGGGUGUAGCGGGCGUGUGUCGGGGGGCUCGAGCGCUGCAGGAGCCCCGCGGCGCGCGGACGCGGUCACACGGAGACGAGAGCGGCUCCGAGCACGAGCUCCUCUCGCUGCGCGCGACGGGCGCUGCAGUUUUCACUCAUCAUACAAAACCAGGGAUAUCAGAAACAGUGUACUCUGCUUCACCCCCUACACUUCUGAGAAAGUCUGGACCAUCACUGUCCUGCGCUGGAUAAGUAUUUUUUUUUUUUGCAAUAGCUGGAUAAUUUGUUUUUAAUAAAUUAAGCAUUUGUUAUUAAAAUGUACGUGCACAGAAUUCAUUUAGUAAAAAAUAACAUUCUUCGAAGUGAUGAAUGGCUGGAUUGCUAAAAAAAAAGUUUUCGUUUUUUUCCCCUAGCUGCCAUAUACUGCGGAAUUCAUCUUAAAGUCACAAUAAAAAUGUCACAGAGUUAGUCCAGGAAAAGUGAAAACAGAAUGUGAUUCUUGCGCCUGUGGCUUUUCUGCAUUUGAAUGAAAGUUCUCUCCAUCUAGGCAUAAAUCAGAAACAGUUUGCCUUUAUUUUGCUGCAAACAGGUGCGGUGCACAUGGCCUUCAGACCACAGUGAAACCCAAAGCAGGCUUCCCACACUGCACUAAGGCUCUGGGCUCCUGUGAAUCUCUCUGUAUCCGAGUGCAUUGGCUACAGCUGAUAGUGGCCCAGUUUGCAUUGUUGGAGAGUCCCAGAACUUCCUGCAGCUCACAGUGCCCCAAGUCAGGCCGGAACCCUGCUCCUCUCCUGUGAUGUUCGGGGCGUGGGGCGGAGCAGGGAGGUCCUCUGUGGCACUUCUUCCUUUGCCAUAUGUGACUUCACGCCAGUGCCAGGACUGAGACCGGAGCAAGAGCUCAAACCCCCCGGGCUGCUCAUCUCCGCUCCUCGACAGGCCAGAGCUUGAGCAGGCAUGGAUUUCAGCACUGUGCCGUUGUGGCCUCGCCGUUUCCCUGGCGUCACAUAUACAUGCCAGCCUUUCUCAGGCUCCUCAGGCCACCAGGAGUACAUAGGCAGCUAUCAAAUAGCCAUUUUGUCAUCUCGUUCAGUCACGUUGGAGAACAAUGUGACACAGGGCCGCAUUUAUCCAGCAUUUACCCCAUCUCUGUGCCAUCCUCAAGAGCAGAAUCUGUGCAUUAAUGCUUUAUGCUUGGAAAAUAGAACUCUUCUUCUAUAUCGACAGGGAAAGGACACACACACACACACACACACACACAUUCUUCAAGACAAUACUCUUUGUAACAAAGAAAAUCUACACUGACAACGUGCAUUUCAUUUAGCCUGGAAAAACAAUUAGUGUCAAAUUGCACUAUUUAACACUUAACACAUUUAAGUCUAAUGCCACAGUUUUGUAAGAAAUUUGUGUGAAACCAGUAUGAAUAAUUAAGUCUUUUAAUAUGUGAGCUCAGUAUUCAUUCACUUAAUGACAAUUAUUAAACUACGAAUUCAGCUUCUUACCGCACAAUUCAAACAAGCAAAUUUAUGAUCAAGACUGAAUGUUUAUGACUGCAUCAUUAAAUUCUAGCUUUCUGACAACUGUUGUUUGAUUUAUGCUAAUAUUUUCAUGUGACUUGGCAUUUACUGUAAUUGAAAACAUUCUGGUGAACUUGAAAAGGGGUCACAUUCCUGAAGAUAUAAAGACAUUUUCAUGAAAUUAUUUUGCCCUGGAAAACUG